rnacentral:misc_RNA from 1 species
UUUUUGUUUAUGCUGCUAAUAAUAAACAUCGCUAAUGUACAGAGAAAACCAAACACCCCUUUUCCUUCUUCUUUUUUUUUUUUUUUUUUUUUUCCCUUUUCCCUCCCUCUAUGAUCUAAUUUAUCAAACAUUUAUAUAUAACAAAAGAAGUUAAAACUGCAAUAUAGGAGGGCCAAAACCGUACUUUUAUAAUUAUUACCAUUGCCAUUGUCAAAGUCAAUGAUCCGUUCUCAACGGUUGUGAUGAACCCUUCCAAAAUCGCAUAGCUUCCGCGACCGGUUCGCGUAAAAUGACGCCGCCACGGACAGAUGAGGCUUCACGGGAACCCUCGCCUCCCCGGAGAAUCCCAUAUCGGGUGGCAAUCCGCCUUUCUGGUUCCAGUGCCGGUUAGGGCUGGCCCUCAGCAGAGGGCUCAAACAAAACGCUAAUCCCGAUACGUUUGUGCCGUUUCCCGGCUUCCCUCUCCUCAUCGCUGCUGGUGCUACUGGUGUCCUCUUCCACCACUGUGCCUGUGAUGACUCCGAAGAGGACCCACUGCCAGACGGAGACCGAUUGCAAUCCUCACAAUCAUCGUCGGAAUCCGCCCCUCUCGCUGGCGACAUUCCUCGAUCCAUCCUCCGACGUGGUUUAUGACCUACAACGCCCGAAUAUUGCUCAGAGAAGAGCGCAGAUUGCUUUUUCCUGCGACCAGAAAAUAUUGCAGACAACCAGGAAGGCGAAGAAGAUGAUGCCUCGCACGAAGUCCUAGAAGGAACUCCACGACCAGAAACAGAAGGAUCCGGAUUAAAUUUCUCGGAUCUGGACCUGAACAUAUUAGACAAACGGGAGAAUCUGGCGGGCUUAGCUUUACAAGUUGCAGAAGUG